GUGGCCACAGGGAACUGAGGGGCUCCAUGCCUGCAGAUGCUCCAGGUAAACAAAAUGACAAUAUAUUAGAUAUUCAAUUCAGUGAUUUCAUACAGUUUAAAAUCAUCAAAUUUUGGUGUAGACCUGUUUAUAUGCUGCCCCCUGCUCUUUGAUGCAUCACUUUUUUACCAAGAAUUUAUUCGGCUUAUGAACGAGUAUAUAUGGUAUGUCUUCACAGUAUUCUAUGAAACAUACAACCAGUUUUAAAACACACUGCAUCAUCUUUACAAGUUUUAACAUGUGAUAACUGUCCAGUAAGAUUCAUGACAAUUUAAUUCUAGUUCAUUACACAUUUUAAUCACGUGUCUAUACAUAGCAUAUUCAGUAUUAUAAAAUCUUCAAGAAGAUUGUCAGGGUUCCCUCCCCACUCUGAACUCUAGGGUACAGAUGUGGGGACCCGCAUGAAAGACCCCCCUAAGCUUAUUUCUACCAGCUUAGCUUAAAACUUCCCCAAGGCACAAAUUCUUUGCCCUUGGAGGGUAUGCUGCCACCACCAAGUGAUUUAACAAAGAAUCAGGGAAAGGGCCACUUGGAGUUCCUAUUCCCCCCAAAUAUCCCCCCAAGCCCUUACACCCCCUUUCCUGGGGAGGCUUAAGAAUAAUAUCCUAACCAAUUGGUUAUAAAGUUUAAGUAUAAACGCUUGGGUCUUAGGACAAUAGAGAAAUCAGUCAGGUUCUUUAAAAGAAGGAUUUUAUUUUAAAAAAAGGUAAAAAUCACCUCUGUAAAAUCAGGAUGGAAAAUAACUUUACAGUGUAACAAAAGAUUCAAAAACACAACAGAACUUCCUCUAGGCUUAGUUUCAAAGUUACAAAAAACAGGAAUAAACCUCCCUCCAGCAAAGGAAAAAUUCACAAGCAAAACAAAAGAAUUUAACAUGCCUUGCCUGGCUUUUACUUACAGUUUUUGUAAUAUGAGAGACUUUAGGAUGGUUUAUAGGAGAAGGAGUUUUCUGACCUGAUGCUUCUCUGCUUCCCAAGAGAGAACACCAAAACAAAACCUCCCCCCUUCCAGCCCCCCCUCCCCAGACUUGAAAAUAUCUUCUUUCCCUAUUGGUCCUUUUGGUCAGGUGCCAGCACAGGUUAUUUGAGCUUCUUAACCCCUUACAGGUAAGGAGGAAUUCUAGGCUACCCUUAGCUGUAUGGUUAUGACAAAGAUGUACAUCAUACCUAGUCCAAAACAAUGUCAUCAUUGAUUAUCAGAUUCUGCCUCAGAGUGGUACCAGCUUGAAUAUGCCUGAUCUUGUCUAGUCCCAGUGCGGCUUCCAAGAUUAAUAAAAUUGUUCCAACAGUUCAUGUUCUUUUUUUCAUCUCUAUGCAGUUCCUAUCUAUAAUGCAGGUACAGAAAUAAUUUUCAGCAUUUAGAAAACAAAAUUAAUUGUUUCAAGAUUUGUGAUGUAGUUUCUGGGAGUUUAAUGUAAAUUCCUGUCAGGUUGUAUCAUUCAAAUUUGUCACAUGAAAAGCAAAUUGGAAGAGUAAAAUACAUGAGACACAUAUGUGUUUUGUUCUAUUUGUUGCUUUACUUUCAUCCUGUGAAUUUUAAUUAACCAAGUAUAAAAAUAUUGCUGCAUUGUGGUCAGAUCCAUGUGGACAGUAGGCGUGUUUCUUUCUGGAUGUGACUUAGGCAUUCGUUUCUGCUGUUUUUUCUGUAGAUCAAUAGCAGCUGUUUCUUGAACAUAGCCAGAGCAGUGCAGACAGCCGUUGCGCUCAUGACUUGGGUAGACAGGGUGGUGUCAUAGGAAGAGCAGGAUAGGAUCUUUAGCUUUGGAGGUAAACUGCUGGAGAGACAACAAGCAUGAGUGAAUGAGAGAUAAGAGGUGUGAACAUCUUUUUGUUAUUGGAAGUUUCCUGCUUGGGUGACAACCAGGGAGGUACAUAUCCAAAGGUCUGAACUGCUCUGGCCACAUAGCAGAAAACAAUUGCCAGGUUAAAAAAAUGUACCUGUUCGUUGCUUUUGCUUUUGUCUUUAUCCACCAUAGCUGCUACUGUAUAGUACAGACACUGAAGCAAACGGAGCUUCAGCUUUGGCUUUGCUGGUUUUGAACCAGUCAUGUUCCUUUUACACUGAAAAGGUCUAUACUCUGUGUGCAAUAAACUUAACAUGAUACAGUAGUAAUCUUAUUCUCGCACGGUAUAGUAUUCCAUAUUUUCUUAAGAUCAACAAAAAAAAUUGGUUUUGUUUUAACUCAGUCUUUGUGGCAAUGUAUUUAUUUGUGCCACUGUGUAGAAUUUUCUGUAUUAGAGUUGUGUAAAUUGUACACAGAACAAGGACUUUGGAUCCAAACAUUUUUUCUGUGAACACCACGUCUCCAAAUAAUUCCCCGCAACUGCCAUUUUAUUCCUAAUUUUUAUUCCAUACAUACAUUGCUGAUAAAAUCUCAUGCUAUUCAUUCAGCAGUUGCUCAUGCAAAGAUUUAUCAUGCUUUUAGAAAAUCUGUUCACUUUUUUUUUAACUUAACUGCCUCAUAAGGGAGCUAUGAAAAAGACUUUAAUGGUGAUGCAUAGAAGGUGUGUUCAUUAACUGUCUAGUAUAAUUUGGUUGGGGAUUUCCCUUUCUCAAUUUAUAAAUUACGAUACAUAAUAUGUGGAAAUGAAGUCUUAUUACCGUUGAUUUGAUGGCUGAUCUUAUGGCAGAAAUUCUAAAGCCAAUGGUUGAGUGCUGUACAGGAAUCUUUGAAAGAGAGAAAAAUAACAAACUAACAUUUUUAUAAUCAUUAACUUGCCAAAGUUGAUUUUAAACCCCUUACUUUUAGCCAGAGCUAGUAAUAUGCCAGAUCCAUUUUAAAUUGUGUGAUGGCCCACUCCAGCCAUUCUGAAAUUGAAAAUCAUUCCUAUUAGCAGAACCACCCCAGUGGCUGGACAGACUUGUUAUGGAUAAGCAUCCUGGUUGUCCUCAUUAAUCAAGUGACAGAGUUGAAUGUUUUACACUGUGAGAAAUUGUAGUCUACUUUUUGGAUAAGAUUCAGAUCAGAUUGUUGGCCCUUGUGGUGGCUUAACUGUGUCUGGGAAGAACAAACUCAACCAGAGAAAACUGCAUUUCAGCCAGUUUUACUUAGGGGCUGUCUGCAUAUGGAAAUUUACCAACAUAAUUAUACUUCCAUAGUUAUACUGGCAUAAUUCCCCAUAUGGACACCCUUAUUCCAGCAUAAGUGUGGCUUUGACUAGUUUAGCUUGUGUCCCUUUGAAAAUGGUAUAAACUAAACUGGAAAAAGACACUUAUUCUGGAAUUAGAGUGGGGACUUCGGCUUGUAUACAUUUAAAACACUACAGUGUAGAUGUUGCCUACUCCAAUGAGAGGGAUUCUCCUGUCAGUGUAGGUAAUCCACCUCCUUGAAGAAUGGUAACUAGGUUGUUGGAAGAAUUCUUCUGAUGACCUAGUGCUAUCUACACAGGAACUUAGGUCGGCUUAAUUAUACUGCUCAGGUGCAUGGAUUUUUUCUAAUAUACUGGCUGGUCUACACUAGUAUAACUAUAGUGAAAUAAGAAUGCCAGUAAAUUUCCCUGUGCAGGCAAGCCCUUACUAAGAUUAUGUUGUGUUUGGGAAUCUUUGGGUUCUUGCCAAUAGAAUUUUCUCUAUUCUCUCAUUCCUAUUUAAUAUGUAUACAUAGGCCUUAUUGAGAAAAUAGGGGUUGCUUGUUGAAUAAUAUAAGUCUUUGUAGCCUCCAAAGAAAUGAAAUCAAAUAUGCCUUGGGAAUUAUCAUUGUUUAUGGCCUCUGCAAAGUGCCACAAUGGAUAAAAGUAGAGACAGGGGGCGAGAAAGAAGGCUUAGAUAUAAAUAUAUACUUAUUUCCUAUUUCAGUGUAAUGGGCCAUUCUCUUUAUACUUUGCCCUUUGUCCUCUUAUAUACCGAUAAAAUUUGGUGUUAAUAAAUCACAGGAUCCUAGUAACUGCCAUACUAGAUCAUACCAUUGGUUUAGCUAAUCAGGUAUCCUGCUUCCAGGAGUGAUUCAUGGUAAUUUAUUAAGCAUCAUGUUGGCUUUCUUUGUAAUGAAUAUUACUGUACAUGUGUGUGAUGUGUUUAAUGACUUACUUUUAUUAAACAAGGAUAAUUACUAUAACAAAAUACAUGCAUAGUUUGUAAACACCUAAAAAUAAAUUGGCAAUUACUACGCCCUUCCUUUGAGCAAUUGUUGCUAAUUAUUUUAACAUAUGGGAUGGGAGGUAAUUGGCCAAAAAGUGUUUUAUGUAAGAGUACUGGUGCAUGAAAAGAAUUCUAAAAUGGACGUGAUCUAAUUAUUGGUUACUUCUUAUUUUCAUCUCUAUUCAUGCUGCUUGAAUUAAGCUUGUUCUCAAUUAAGAGAAUUCAGUAGCUUGAGAAUCCCCUCAACACUGUUCACAUCUAUGAACCAUGUUGUGUCCUCAUUUCAUAUGGAUGAUGUGGUCCCAAGGGCUAAGUUCUCCCUUGCACAAAAAUACCUUGCGUAUGCAUGAAGAAGGUCCAUAAGUUUCAACAUGCAAAGGUUGAGGUUUUUUCCUCAGCAUUCCACCAUCAGGAUGAAUAGGGCAGAUUUUUCCAUAUUAAACUAAUUGCUCGUGCUGGUGUUUGUUAAACCAAUUUCUGGUUCUGAGAAUACCUCCACCCCAUACAGCUACCUUCCUUCCCUUCCUCCAUGGCAGUACAGUGCUUCAGAUGCCUGUAACUCUCUGUCCUGCCACAAUAGCAGCUGCAGAGGAGAUUUCUGGUGAGCUAAUUUUCUUGGAGCAACAUUAAUGUUUGGGGUUUGUCUUCACUUGAAAUGCUUACAGCAGCACAGCUGAAGCACUGAAGCUCACCACUGUAGCACUUCAGUGUAUUCACUACCUACACUGACAGGAGGGGUCAGGAUAAGUAAUCCACCUCCCGAAGAGGUGGUAGCUAGGUUGACAGAAAAAUUCUUCCGUUGACCUAACACUGCCUACACUGGCUCAAUCUAACUUUUUAGUGCAGACCAGAACUUGAUCAGUAUCUGUAGUGCCUGGAAGGGAGCAGCCCACAGGAAAGGUAACUCAUUAACUACACCGACCCUGUAAUCUUUGCAGAGUCUGAUACAAUGGAGUACUUACCAAGAGGGUCUUUUGAAGGAUUUGGGGGCUGAGCGGAAGCAUGCUGUGGAUUAGGCAUGUCCUGACAGGCCUAGAAGGUUGGAGUAGAAAUUGUCUGUAUGUAGCUAUGACGUCAGAUUUGAUUGUCCAACAACAAAAAGUGAUUGUCUACAUUUUCAUGCUGUGGGGUCAUUCUUCUGUGGAGCAAUUCUUUCAGAGUACCUACACCAGACAUCUACCCCAAGGAGGCACCAGCAAUUAGCUUGCCUGCCUCUCCCACUUACUGAGCCAGGUUCCAGACAUCUGCUGAUGGCUUCUUUAAUAUUGGCCAAAAACAUAUCUGCUCCCAAGUUUGACAAGUGGACUCCCCCGGCUGAGAAAUUACAAGCCCCCCUGUGCCACCUAUGAAUUUGGCUUCCUCCCUAUUCAUAUCCCAUGGGUAUUCAGCUGCUUUGGAUGGAUGGAAGAUUGAACUGAAAUUAAUUGCCUGAAAUUAACGUGGCUGUUCUUGUUUAAUCAUUUUAGCAUUUAUAGUGUUACCUUACCUUUAGAAAACAUCCUUGUAUGUGUACUAGCAGAAGAGUUGAUAACAAUACACCAUCCUUUCAGUCAUCGAGGCUCAUAACUUGGGUGUCAGCUUCAUCUCCCUCUCAUUUCCCCCACAGGCAUUGAGACCAUUUUCUAGUCCUUUGUGCCAGGAUCCUGCAAAGAUUGUAGCAUGAGCAUAAUUUUACAAACAUGACUAGUCCCAUAGACUUCAAUAGGAUUACUGUUAUAUGUAACAUUAUGCACAUGCUUAAUUCUUUACAGGAUGGAGGCCUUCUUGGAUAAAGUUCCUAAUCCGUCUGCCCCAGCAGUGAUGCCAGCCUUGAUGCUCCCUUUGUCUUUUUUUUAUAUCAACAGCUCCACUCUUUUCAAUGAGAGAGGGAGACCUUUUUGCAUAGAAUGCCUGCCCUACCUCAUUUAAAUCCCCAUAAUAACUCAGUCAAGAGCAUCCAAUGUUGCAUGUCUUUCUUUCAGUUUUUAUAUUCGUUUUAAAACUUCAAAACGUUAACUGAUCUCAUUUAAUUGACUCUAUUAAAUAGAAAAGUUACAUUUAACUUGCCCAAGAUUACACAUUAAGUGGUAGACCUGUGAUUUGAAACUAAGUCUUCUGACUGCUAGUCCUGUGUUCAAUUUGCUAGUUGUCCCUGCAGUAAAAAAUUAUUUGCAAAAAACCGA